rnacentral:rRNA from 1 species
GAGAAUUUGCUAGAGAUAGCUUAGUGCCUUCGGGAACUCUGAGACAGGUACUGCAUGGCUGUCGUCAGCUCGUGUUGUGAAAUGUUGGGUUAAGUCCCGCAACGAGCGCAACCCUUAUCCUUUGUUGCCAGCGAGUAAUGUCGGGAACUCAAAGGAGACUGCCGGUGAUAAACCGGAGGAAGGUGGGGAUGACGUCAAGUCAUCAUGGCCCUUACGAGUAGGGCUACACACGUGCUACAAUGGCAUAUACAAAGAGAAGCGAACUCGCGAGAGCAAGCGGACCUCAUAAAGUAUGUCGUAGUCCGGAUUGGAGUCUGCAACUCGACUCCAUGAAAUCGGAAUCGCUAGUAAUCGUAGAUCAGAAUGCUACGGUGAAUACGUUCCCGGGCCUU